rnacentral:rRNA from 1 species
UACAGAGGUCUCAAGCGUUUGUUCGGAUUCAUUGGGCGUAAAGGGUGCGUAGGCGGCGCGGUAAGUCGGGUGUGAAAUCUCGGAGCUUAACUCCGAAACUGCAUUCGAUACUGCCGUGCUUGAGUACGGGAGAGGCGAGUGGAAUUCCUGGUGUAGCGGUGAAAUGCGCAGAUAUCAGGAGGAACACCGAUUGCGAAGGCAGCUCGCUGGAACGUUACUGACGCUGAGACGCGAAAGCGUGGGGAGCAAACAGG